rnacentral:tRNA from 1 species
GGAGAGGUACCGAAGCGGCCAUAACGGCGCGGACUCGAAAUCCGUUGGGGGCGCAAGCCCCACGUGGGUUCGAAUCCCACCCUCUCCGCCA